rnacentral:rRNA from 1 species
CAGGACGAACGCUGGCGGCGUGCUUAACACAUGCAAGUCGAACGGAGCCUAUCGAAUGAAGAUUUCGGUCAGAAUUUGAGAAAGCUUAGUGGCGGACGGGUGAGUAACGCGUGAGGAACCUGCCUUUCAGAGGGGGACAACAGUUGGAAACGACUGCUAAUACCGCAUAAGCGCACAGGACCGCAUGGUCUGGUGUGAAAAACUCCGGUGGUAUACGAUGGACCCGCGUCUGAUUAGCUAGUUGGUGAGGUAACGGCCCACCAAGGCGACGAUCAGUAGCCGGCCUGAGAGGGUGAACGGCCACAUUGGGACUGAGACACGGCCCAAACUCCUACGGGAGGCAGCAGUGGGGAAUAUUGGACAAUGGGGGAAACCCUGAUCCAGCGACGCCGCGUGAGUGAAGAAGUAUUUCGGUAUGUAAAGCUCUAUCAGCAGGGAAGAAAAUGACGGUACCUGACUAAGAAGCUCCGGCUAAAUACGUG